rnacentral:rRNA from 1 species
AAACCAACAGGGAUUGCCUUAGUAACGGCGAGUGAAGCGGCAAAAGCUCAAAUUUGAAAUCGGCCCCCAGGUCGAGUUGUAAUUUGUAGAUUGUAUCUUGAGAGCGGAUUAAAGUCUGUUGGAACACAGCGCCUUAGAGGGUGACAGCCCCGUAAAAUCUAUUCUCAUUGUAAGAUACUUUCGAAGAGUCGAGUUGUUUGGGAAUGCAGCUCUAAGUGGGAGGUAAAUUCCUUCUAAAGCUAAAUAUUGACGAGAGACCGAUAGCGAACAAGUACUGUGAAGGAAAGAUGAAAAGCACUUUGAAAAGAGAGUGAAAAAGUACGUGAAAUUGUUAAAAGGGAAGGGUAUUGAAUCAGACUUGGUGCUGUUGUUCAACUGUGUUUCGGCAUAGUGUACUCAGCAGUACUAGGCCAAGGUGGGGUGUUUGGGAGUGAAAAAGAAGUUGGAAGGUAACUCUUCGGAGUGUUAUAGCCUACUUUCAUAGCUCCUCAGGCGCCUCAGGACUGCGCUUCGGCAAGGACCUUGGCAUAAUGAUUCUAUACCGCCCGUCUUGAAACACGGACC